rnacentral:rRNA from 1 species
UACGAAGGGGGCUAGCGUUGCUCGGAAUCACUGGGCGUAAAGGGCGCGUAGGCGGCCAUUCAAGUCGGGGGUGAAAGCCUGUGGCUCAACCACAGAAUUGCCUUCGAUACUGUUUGGCUUGAGUUUGGUAGAGGUUGGUGGAACUGCGGGUGUAGAGGUGAAAUUCGUAGAUAUUCGCAAGAACACCAGUGGCGAAGGCGGCCAACUGGACCAACACGUGACGCUGAGGCGACGAAAGCGUGGGGAGCAAACAGG